rnacentral:rRNA from 1 species
UACGUAGGGCGCAAGCGUUGUCCGGAAUUAUUGGGCGUAAAGAGCUCGUAGGCGGCUUGUCACGUCGGGUGUGAAAGCCCGGGGCUUAACCCCGGGUCUGCAUUCGAUACGGGCAGGCUAGAGUGUGGUAGGGGAGAUCGGAAUUCCUGGUGUAGCGGUGAAAUGCGCAGAUAUCAGGAGGAACACCGGUGGCGAAGGCGGCUUGCUGGGCCUUACCUGACGCUGAGGAGCGAAAGCGUGGGGAGCGAACAGG